rnacentral:rRNA from 1 species
AGUGAACGCUGGCGGUAUGCCUAACACAUGCAAGUCGAACGGCAGCACAGUAAGAGCUUGCUCUUACGGGUGGCGAGUGGCGGACGGGUGAGGAAUACAUCGGCAUCUACUUUUUCGUGGGGGAUAACGUAGGGAAACUUACGCUAAUACCGCAUACGACCUACGGGUGAAAGCAGGGGAUCUUCGGACCUUGCGUGAUUGAAUGAGCCGAUGUCGGAUUAGCUAGUUGGCGGGGUAAAGGCCCACCAAGGCGACGAUCCGUAGCUGGUCUGAGAGGAUGAUCAGCCACACUGGAACUGAGACACGGUCCAGACUCCUACGGGAGGCAGCAGUGGGGAAUAUUGGACAAUGGGCGCAAGCCUGAUCCAGCCAUACCGCGUGGGUGAAGAAGGCCUUCGGGUUGUAAAGCCCUUUUGUUGGGAAAGAAAAGCAGCAGGUUAAUACCCCGCUGUUCUGACGGUACCCAAAGAAUAAGCACCGGCUAACUUCGUG